rnacentral:tRNA from 1 species
GGGUAUAGUUCAGUGGGAGAGCACAUGCUUAGCAUGCAUGAGGUCCUGGGUUCAGUCCCUGGUACCGCCA